rnacentral:rRNA from 1 species
CCUAGUAAUGGCGAAUGGACAGGCAAAAGCUCAGAUUUGAAACCCUCGGGAUUGUAAUCUGGAGACCUGGAUUUGGCACGCUGACCAAGUCUUCUGGAACGGAGCGCCAUGGAGGGUGACAGCCCCGUAGCAGCAGCCACUGUAAAUCCGGGUCGACGAGUCGAGUUGUUUGGGAAUGCAGCUCUAAGUGGGUGGUAUGCUCCAUCUAAAGCUAAAUAUUGGCGAGAGACCGAUAGCGAACAAGUACUGUGAAGGAAAGAUGAAAAGAACUUUGAAAAGAGAGUGAAAAAGUACGUGAAAUUGUUGAAAUGGAAGGCAAUGAGGUGCGAUUGAACCGGACGUUUGCGGGCAGGACAAAAGCGCAGGCCGCCUCGGCAUUGCCUGCGUGCAUACUGCCUCGCGGACUACCAGUUCUAACAACGCCUUAUUGCACCCGUCUU